rnacentral:rRNA from 1 species
CUACGGGAGGCUGCAGGCGCGAAAACUCUACAAUGCACGAAAGUGUGAUAGGGGAAUCCCGAGUGCUUUACAUUUGUAAGGCUUUUGCUUAGUUUAAAAAACUAGGCGAAUAAGUAGUGGGUAAGACUGGUGCCAGCCGCCGCGGUAACACCAGCGCUACGAGUGGGGAUCACGUUUAUUGGGUCUAAAGGGUCUGUAGCCGGCUUGUUAAAUUUUUCGUGAAAUUGUUGUGCUUAACAUAACAGUAUGCGAAAAACACUGAUGAGCUAGAGACUGGGAGGAGAUAGAGGUAUUCUAGGGGAAGCAGUAAAAUGCGAUAAUCCCUAGAGGACCACCAAUGGCGAAGGCAUCUAUCUAGAACAGUUCUGACGGUGAUAGACGAAAGCUAGGGGAGCGAUCCGGAUUAGAUACCCGCGUAGUC